rnacentral:tRNA from 1 species
GCGCCAGUGGUUUAGUGGUAAAAUCCAUCGUUGCCAUCGAUGGGCCCCGCGUUUGAUUCGCGGCUGGCACA